UCUUUGCUAGUAUAUCGGUUAGUACACGCGCCUGUCAUCAGCUCGUAGGCCGCGCGAAAGCUGGGUUCGACUCCCAGGCAGAGAG